rnacentral:misc_RNA from 1 species
UGGAUUCAAAAAUGUUAGUUGUAAGAUCAUUAAGUUUAGAUCUCAUAAUAUACCCAUAAAAGGUUCAAGGUUAACACAACUCUAUAGAGAGCUUAAGUUUAACAUCCUAUGACGACACAUACACAACUAUAUCCAGUGUUUUUUCAUAUUUCAAGUUAUGUCAAGAUUUGAUGAACAUUUUCCGAAAUUCAUCAUUGGAUUUAGGAUUUUCAUCUUCCACAGAAUCAGAUUCUUUUGAUUUGGGUUGAUCUUUGUCAACCCAACCCAGUGGCCUGACAGUUCUGGGCAUUGCAAACGUAUUCUUACCUUUGAGCUGGAUAUUAGAUGCCCGGUGAUGACUAGAAGGUUGAAGCCCCCCCCCGGAACCUUCAGCAGAAUUUUUGGCACCUGAUUUUGAACUCUCAGUAGUUUGAUCAGCAUUAUCACCUUGUCUCAAAGAUGUACCGGGAGCAGCACUUCCUCUCUUUCUGCCCUUGGGAUCUGACUUAGCAAUGCUCACUCUCUUCCCAAGCAAUGUGUGUUUGUUUUUUGCCACGGCUGCAGCCAGGUGUUUGUCAUCUGAGAAGUCCACAUAAGCCAAUCCCCUUGACUUGCCAGUGAACUUGUCUGUUAAUAUUCGUAUAGCAACCACUCCCCCAACAUCACUGAAGAAUUUACGUAGGUCAUCAUGGGUUGCCUUGAGGUUAAUGUUAGAUACAAAUGCAGUACACUGGUCAUCAUACUGUUGUGGUUUCCCUGAAGUGACAUCUCUGUUCUCUUUUUUGCUUCCACUCACUGGCUUGCUAGCAGCCACAUCUGGUUUUUUAUCAUUUACCUUGACCGGUUCUUUUGAGAUGCCUUUACCAUCUUCAGAAGUGAUUUUAACAUUUUUAGCUUUAUCUUUGUGACGUUUAGCAGGAGAUUGUUCUUCAAUUAAAUUAGAUACUGGCUUCCUCUUUUCACGCACAUUUUUCCUAGAAGAAUUGUCUCCAUCAUCUGCUGACACACCGAUGCUCUUAGCUUCUUGUAGUUUGAAUAACUGCAGUUCUUCAAGGCGAGGAGUGACCUUUUUAACGGCAAGGUCAAAAUCGUCCAGGGUACCAUACUCUCUCUCGAAGCGAAUCCAUGAAUUGCAUAUGUCCUCUGAGCCAGUCCCGGGAAA